GGGCUCAACCUGGGAACUGCAUUCGAAACUGGCAGGCUUGAGUCUUGUAGAGGGGGGUAGAAUUCCAGGUGUAGCGGUGAAAUGCGUAGAGAUCUGGAGGAAUACCGGUGGCGAAGGCGGCCCCCUGGACAAAGACUGACGCUCAGGUGCGAAAGCGUGGGGAGCAAACAGGAUUAGAUACCCUGGUAGUCCACGCCGUAAACGAUGUCUACUUGGAGGUUGUGCCCUUGAGGCGUGGCUUCCGGAGCUAACGCGUUAAGUAGACCGCCUGGGGAGUACGGCCGCAAGGUUAAAACUCAAAUGAAUUGACGGGGGCCCGCACAAGCGGUGGAGCAUGUGGUUUAAUUCGAUGCAACGCGAAGAACC
rnacentral:rRNA from 1 species